UGCGCAGGCGGCUGAUUAAGUCGGAUGUGAAAGCCCCGGGCUCAACCUGGGAAUUGCAUUCGAUACUGAUCAGCUAGAGUCUGGUAGAGGUAAGCGGAAUUCCGGGUGUAGCGGUGAAAUGCGUAGAUAUCCGGAGGAACAUCAGUGGCGAAGGCGGCUUACUGGACCAAGACUGACGCUCAGGCACGAAAGCGUGGGUAGCAAACA
rnacentral:rRNA from 1 species